UGGGGAAUAUUCCGCAAUGGACGAAAGUCUGACGGAGCAACGCCGCGUGAGUGAUGAAGGUUUUCGGACUGUAAAGCUCUGUUGUUUAGGACGAAAGUGCCUGUUGCGAACAGUUACAGGUAUUGACGGUACUAAACGAGGAAGCCACGGCUAACUACGUGCCAGCAGCCGCGGUAAUACGUAGGUGGCAAGCGUUGUCCGGAAUUAUUGGGCGUAAAGAGCAUGUAGGCGGAGAUUUAAGUCUGUUGUGAAAAUGCGGGGCUCAACCCCGUAUUGCGAUGGAAACUGAAUUUCUUGAGUGCAGGAGAGGAAAGGGGAAUUCCCAGUGUAGCGGUGAAAUGCGUAGAUAUUGGGAGGAACACCAGUGGCGAAGGCGCCUUUCUGGACUGCGUCUGACGCUGAGAUGCGAAAGCCAGGGUAGCGAACG
rnacentral:rRNA from 1 species